rnacentral:rRNA from 1 species
UACGUAGGGUGCGAGCGUUAAUCGGAAUUACUGGGCGUAAAGCGUGCGCAGGCGGUUUUGUAAGUCAGAUGUGAAAUCCCCGGGCUUAACCUGGGAACUGCAUUUGUGACUGGCGGGCUAGAGUAUGGCAGAGGGGGGUAGAACUCCACGUGUAGCAGUGAAAUGCGUAGAGAUGUGGAGGAAUACCGAUGGCGAAGGCAGCCCCCUGGGCCAAUACUGACGCUCAUGCACGAAAGCGUGGGGAGCAAACAGG